ensembl:lncRNA
GGUGGGAGGCAGGGGGAAUCCACGCGGCAGGGAGGAGACCGGAAGUGAGGCUUGGCAGGCAGCCACAGAGCAGAGCAGGAGGAGCAGCGAGAGGAGGCCGGGAGCGGAGUGCAUCGCUUUCCCUGUUCCUGAAAGGUCCUCUCUGGCCAAGUAGAGGGAGAGGAGCGCUUCUGAGGAAGCCAUCAUUGAAGAGAGUGAAAAGGUCACGAUUACGUGGACACCUCCGGGUUCACUGGCCCCACUUCUGCGCCCCUUCUCCAGGCGCCGACACCUCGCCGUCCUGGAGCCCUCGUUCUCGGAACCGGAACCGGAACUGGAUCACAGUGGGCAGCACAGCCACAGCGCCCAGAGCACCAGUCCUUGAGAGUUCAGACGCCCAAUUAGUGUCCUUAUAAAAUGGUGUCAGGGAACCUUCUCUAAAAUCCCGUAUAUCACCCUUAGGACACUGAAGUAUCCGUACGCCGAAUCAUCCAUCUUCCUGCAGCUUCCCGAGGAUACCUACGUAGGCAAGUAGAAAAAUGAGGAAGAACAGCUGCAAUUCGGUAAUAGAGUGUGUGGUACAGGAUCCAUAACCAGAAAAGCCACCUAGGGGCAGAAAUGUGUGAAACCUUUCCUCCCCAUCACAAAGGAAUCGCAGCCCACACUGCUAUAAUAAAGACAAAUAAAUCAGGAGUAACAGAUUUAUUUAAUCAUAGUUUUAUAUGACACAGAAAUGAAGAUCCAAAGACCCAGGGAAAACUGUUUUCACGUUUAGUUUCCACGAAG